rnacentral:rRNA from 1 species
UACGGAGGGUGCAAGCGUUAUCCGGAUUUAUUGGGUUUAAAGGGUCCGUAGGCGGAUCUGUAAGUCAGUGGUGAAAUCUCACAGCUUAACUGUGAAACUGCCAUUGAUACUGCAGGUCUUGAGUGUUAUUGAAGUAGCUGGAAUAAGUAGUGUAGCGGUGAAAUGCAUAGAUAUUACUUAGAACACCAAUUGCGAAGGCAGGUUACUAAGCAACAACUGACGCUGAUGGACGAAAGCGUGGGGAGCAAACAGG